GACGAGGUGCACAAACGUUAAUCGGAAUUACUGGGCGUAAAGCGUGCGCAGGCGGUUCGCCAAGUCAGGUGUGAAAUCCCCGGGCUUAACCUGGGAAUUGCGCUUGAAACUAGCGGGCUUGAGUGUGGCAGAGGGGGGUGGAAUUCCACGUGUAGCAGUGAAAUGCGUAGAGAUGUGGAGGAACACCGAUGGCGAAGGCAGCCCCCUGGGUCAACACUGACGCUCAUGCACGAAAGCGUGGGGAGCAAACAGG
rnacentral:rRNA from 1 species